rnacentral:rRNA from 1 species
GACCCUAAAAAGUCCUUUAAACAUAAAGGUUUGGUCCUAGCCUUGAAAUCAAUUCUUACUUAAUAUACACAUGCAAGUCUCCGCACCCCUGUGAAAACGCCCUUAAAUCCCCGGUAGGGAUAAGGAGCUGGUAUCAGGCUCAACCCAAGCCCAAGACACCUAGCUAUGCCACACCCACAAGGGAACUCAGCAGUGAUUAACAUUGACAAUAAGCGCAAGCUUGAUUCAGUUAAAGUAAAAAGAGCCGGCAAAUCUGGUGCCAGCCGCCGCGGUUACACCACGUGGCCCAAAUUGACUUCUACCGGCGUAAAGCGUGAUUAAAGAUACUUCAAACUGUAGUUAAACUAGAAUUAAGCUGUGACACGCUUAUUAUAUUGAAACCCAUAAACGAAAGUUAUUACAACACAAUCAACUUGAACUCACGACAGCUGGGGGACAAACUGGGAUUAGAUACCCCACUAUGCCCGGCCGUAAACUUUAACCUACACUCAAAUCGCCAGGGAACUACGAGCUAAGCUUAAAACCCAAAGGACUUGACGGUACCCCACAUCCACCUAGAGGAGCCUGUCCUAUAAUCGAUAAUCCCCGUUUAACCUCACCACUUUUAGCCUAUCAGCCUGUAUACCUCCGUCGUCAGCUUACCACAUGAGCGCCCUCUAGUGAGCUUAAUGUCCCCUCGUCAAAACGUCAGGUCAAGGUGCAACUUAUAAAGUGGGAAGAGAUGGGCUACACUCUCUAACCUAGAAAACACGAAAGACUAUAUAUGAAACCUAGUCGGAAGGCGGAUUUAGAAGUAAAAAGAGAUAAGAAAGCUCUUUUUAACAAGGCACUGGGGUGUGUACACACCGCCCGUCACCCUCUUCAAAGCUAAAAACUAGUAUUUAACCACUUAAAGCAGUAUAGAAGAGGCAAGUCGUAACAUGGUAAGUAUACCGGAAGGUGUGCUUGGAAA